rnacentral:rRNA from 1 species
UACGUAGGUCCCGAGCGUUAUCCGGAUUUAUUGGGCGUAAAGCAAGCGCAGGUGGUUUAUUAAGUCUGGUGUAAAAGGCAGUGGCUCAACCAUUGUAUGCAUUGGAAACUGGUAGACUUGAGUGCAGGAGAGGAGAGUGGAAUUCCAUGUGUAGCGGUGAAAUGCGUAGAUAUAUGGAGGAACACCGGUGGCGAAAGCGGCUCUCUGACCUGUAACUGACACUGAGGCUCGAAAGCGUGGGGAGCAAACAGG